CUCUUAUCUAGAGUGGUGGAGGGACUGGCCCGAUGAUACCCGGCAACCGAGCUUAUAAAUUGUAAGCUUAGGUGCUAAUUCCUGCAAAACGGUUUUCGUUUUGAAAGAUAAGAG
rnacentral:ncRNA from 2 species